rnacentral:lncRNA from 1 species
AUUUCGUUAUCAUCGGUCAUCUACUUCACUGCUAUGUAAAGGACCAAGUUUGAUUGAAGAAUGUUACCACGACACUGCAUUCAAGCUUUCAUACUAAGUUUAACUGUGAUAUCCCUGUCAACUGGGUUAUACUCACAGAGAUUAUUGCACAAAUUAUUAAAAUUAAAUUUUAUAUUCUAAAAUCAUUUAAUUAAUAAUAAAAUAUUUAAAUUUAAUUAUCAUCGAGUAGUAUAAUUUUCUUACUUUUCAAAGGAGGAUAGCAUAUAUUUUAACAUAAUAGAGGGAGAAGAGCAAUUCAAGGU